rnacentral:rRNA from 1 species
GACGAACGCUGGCGGCGUGCUUAACACAUGCAAGUCGAGCGGUAAGGCCCUUUCGGGGGUACACGAGCGGCGAACGGGUGAGUAACACGUGGGUGACCUGCCCUCAGUUCUGGGAUAAGCCUGGGAAACCGGGUCUAAUACUGGAUAUGACCUCAUGACGCAUGUUGUGGGGUGGAAAGCCUUGUGCGACUGAGGAUGGGCCCGCGGCCUAUCAGCUUGUUGGUGGGGUGAUGGCCUACCAAGGCGACGACGGGUAGCCGGCCUGAGAGGGCGACCGGCCACACUGGGACUGAGACACGGCCCAGACUCCUACGGGAGGCAGCAGGUGGGGAAUCUUGCGCAAUGGGCGAAAGCCUGACGCAGCGACGCCGCGUGAGGGAUGACGGCCUGGU